rnacentral:rRNA from 1 species
UACGAAGGGGGCAAGCGUUGUUCGGAAUUACUGGGCGUAAAGGGCGCGUAGGCGGCCGAUCAAAGUCAGGCGUGAAAUUCCCGGGCUCAACCUGGGGGCUGCGCUUGAUAACUGAUUGGCUUGGAAUGCGGGAAGAGGAUAGUGGAAUUCCCGAGUGUAGAGGUGAAAUUCGUAGAUAUUGGGAAGAACACCGGUGGCGAAGGGCGGCUAAUCUG